rnacentral:rRNA from 1 species
CCAGACUCCUACGGGAGGCAGCAGUGAGGAAUAUUGGUCAAUGGACGGAAGUCUGAACCAGCCAUGCCGCGUGCAGGAAGACGGCUCUAUGAGUUGUAAACUGCUUUUGUACAAGGGUAAACCUGAAUACGUGUAUUCAGCUGAAAGUACUGUACGAAUAAGGAUCGGCUAACUCCGUGCCAGCAGCCGCGGUAAUACGGAGGAUGCGAGCGUUAUCCGGAUUUAUUGGGUUUAAAGGGUGCGCAGGCGGGCUGUUAAGCCGGCGGUAAAAAUUCAGGGCUCAACCCUGUCGAGCCGUCGGAACUGGCAGUCUUGAGUGGGCGAGAAGUAUGCGGAAUGCGUGGCGUAGCGGUGAAAUGCAUAGAUAUCACGCAGAACGCCGAUUGCGAAGGCAGCAUACCGGCGCCCAACUGACGCUGAGGCACGAAAGCGUGGGGAUCGAACAGGAUUAGAUACCCCCGUACA